UACGAGAACCCCAAGCGUUAUCCGGAAUCAUUGGGCGUAAAGGGUGUGUAGGUGGCGCCGUAAGUCGGGUGUGAAAUUUCGGAGCUUAACUCCGAAACUGCAUUCGAUACUGCGGUGCUUGAGGACUGGAGAGGAGACUGGAAUUCAUGGUGUAGCAGUGAAAUGCGUAGAGAUCAUGAGGAAGACCAGUGGCGAAGGCGGGUCUCUGGACAGUACCUGACACUGAGGCACGAAGGCCAGGGGAGCAAACGGG
rnacentral:rRNA from 1 species